GCAGCUCAACUGGUAGAGCAGGGCAUUAACGUUGCCAGGGUCAGGGGUUCGAGUCCCGCUAACACGUAUGCA